rnacentral:rRNA from 1 species
CUACGGGGUGCUGCAGUAGGGAAUAUUGGACAAUGGGCGAAAGCCUGAUCCAGCAACACCGCGUGCACGAUGACGGCCUUCGGGUUGUAAAGUGCUUUUAGAGGAGAUGAGAAAGGACAGUAUCCUCUGAAUAAGCCUCGGCGAACUACGUGCCAGCAGCCGCGGUAAAACGUAGGAGGCAAGCGUUAUCCGGAUUUAUUGGGCGUAAAGCGCGUGCAGGCGGUCUAACAAGUUGGGUGUGAAAGCUCCCGGCUCAACUGGGAGAGGUCGUUCAAUACUGUUAGACUAGAGAAUAGGAGAGGGAGGUGGAAUUCCGGGUGUAGUGGUGAAAUGCGUAGAUAUCCGGAGGAACACCAGUGGCGAAAGCGGCCUCCUGGACUAUUUCUGACGCUAAGACGCGAAAGCUAGGGUAGCAAACGGGAUUAGAUACCCUAGUAGUC